UGCUAAUAAAUGAAGGGUCGCUCGGCUCGGGAAUGGCAAAACAGUGCAACUAUUGAAGCUAUCAACAUACGGUAUGCCGGCAGAAGAAACAAAUGGGAAAAUAAUUGUAGGCGACGUCGAGACUGGAAAUAUGGAUUCCCUGAGCCAGUACAAAGAGAGUGGGCCAUUCUAACAGAAGAUUAGCAGCCCAGAUAGACAGAAGACCAUGAUCGGAUGAUAAUAACCUCAACUCAACAUUUUAUGAACAUCUGACUUGUUCAUUACAAAAUACCUUGUGUGAUGAUAUGGCGAUGGGAAGUGAGAACGUCUUCAGUCAGACAUGAUUGUCUAUCCAGUAAUUGCAAUAUUUCUGUUGCAAUACAUUACAGUACAGCAUUUAUUGAAUUACAGGA